rnacentral:rRNA from 1 species
GACGGGGGGGGGCAAGUGUUCUUCGGAAUGACUGGGCGUAAAGGGCACGUAGGCGGUGAAUCGGGUUGAAAGUGAAAGUCGCCAAAAAGUGGCGGAAUGCUCUCGAAACCAAUUCACUUGAGUGAGACAGAGGAGAGUGGAAUUUCGUGUGUAGGGGUGAAAUCCGUAAAUAUACGAAGGAACGCCAAAAGCGAAGGCAGCUCUCUGGGUCCCUACCGACGCUGGGGUGCGAAAGCGUGGGGAGCAAACAGG